rnacentral:misc_RNA from 1 species
UCUCCGUUGGUGAACCAGCGGAGGGAUUAUUACCGAGUUUACAACUCCCAAACCCCAUGUGAACCUUACCAAACGUUGCUUCGGCGGGAUGCCCCGGGCGCGGGCCGCAAGGCCUCAGCCCCGGAACCAGGCGCCCGCCGGAGGCCCAAACCAAACUCUUGUUUUUGUAGAAUCUUCUGAGUGGCCUUUUAGGCAAAAAAUGAGUCAAAACUUUCAACAACGGAUCUCUUGGUUCUG